ACACGGAGGGUGCAAACGUUGCUCGGAAUCACUGGGCGUAAAGCGCACGUAGGCGGCCAGGCAAGUCGAGUGUGAAAGCCCUGGGCUCAACCCAGGAACUGCACUCGAAACUGCCUGGCUUGAGUACGGGAGAGGGGAACGGAAUUCCCGGUGUAGAGGUGAAAUUCGUAGAUAUCGUGAGGAACACCAGUGGCGAAGGCGGUUCCCUGGACCGAUACUGACGCUGAGUGUGCGAAAGCGUGGGGAGCAAACAGGAUUAGAUACCCUUGUAGUCC
rnacentral:rRNA from 1 species